AGCGAACGCUGGCGGCAGGCCUAACACAUGCAAGUCGAACGAACCUUUCGGGGUUAGUGGCGGACGGGUGAGUAACACGUGGGAACGUGCCUUUAGGUUCGGAAUAACUCAGGGAAACUUGUGCUAAUACCGAAUGUGCCCUUCGGGGGAAAGAUUUAUCGCCUUUAGAGCGGCCCGCGUCUGAUUAGCUAGUUGGUUGAGGUAAGGGCUACCCAGGCGACGGGUCAUUAGUGGGCCUGAGGGGAGGAUCAGCCACAUUGGGACUGGGACACGGCCCAAACUCCAACGGGAGGCAGCAGUGGGGAAUCUUGCGCAAUGGGCGAAAGCCUGACGCAGCCAUGCGGCGGGAAUGAUGAAGGUCUUAGGAUUGUAAAAUUCUUUCCCCGGGAACGAUAAUGACGGAACCCGGGGAAGAAGCCCCGGCUAACUCCGU
rnacentral:rRNA from 1 species